CGGACGGGUGAGUAAUGUCUGGGAAACUGCCUGAUGGAGGGGGAUAACUACUGGAAACGGUAGCUAAUACCGCAUAAUGUCUACGGACCAAAGCGGGGGACCUCCGGGCCUCGCGCCAUCAGAUGAACCCAUAUGGGAUUAGCUAGUAGGUAAGGUAACGGCUUACCUAGGCGACGAUCCCUAGCUGGUCUGAGAGGAUGAUCAGCCACACUGGGACUGAGACACGGCCCAG
rnacentral:rRNA from 1 species